UACCAGCACCCCGAGUGGUCGGGACGUUUUAUUGGGCCUAAAGCAUCCGUAGCCGGUUCUACAAGUCUUCCGUUAAAUCCACCUGCUUAACAGAUGGGCUGCGGAAGAUACUAUAGAGCUAGGAGGCGGGAGAGGCAAGCGGUACUCAGUGGGUAGGGGUAAAAUCCUUUGAUCCAUUGAAGACCACCAGUGGCGAAGGCGGCUUGCCAGAACGCGCUCGACGGUGAGGGAUGAAAGCUGGGGGAGCAAACCGG
rnacentral:rRNA from 1 species